UACGUAGGGCGCAAGCGUUGUCCGGAAUUAUUGGGCGUAAAGAGCUCGUAGGCGGCCUGUUGCGUCCGCUGUGAAAUCCCGGGGCUCAACCCCGGGCCUGCAGUGGAUACGGGCUGGCUAGAGGCAGGCAGGGGAGAACGGAAUUCCUGGUGUAGCGGUGAAAUGCGCAGAUAUCAGGGGGAACACCGGUGGCGAAGGCGGUUCUCUGGGCAGUAACUGACGCUGAGGAGCGAAAGCGUGGGGAGCGAACAGG
rnacentral:rRNA from 1 species